rnacentral:rRNA from 1 species
UUGGAGGGCAAGUCUGGUGCCAGCAGCCGCGGUAAUUCCAGCUCCAAUAGCGUAUAUUAAAGUUGUUGCAGUUAAAAGCUCGUAGUUGAAUUUCGGGAUUGACACAUCGGUCGUGCCUUAAGGGGUAUGAACUGGUGUAGUCAGUUUCUCACCUUCUGGAGAACCGCGAUGUCCUUAAUUGGGUGCCGCGAGGAACCAGGACCUUUACUUUGAAAAAAUUAGAGUGUUUAAAGCAGGCAUUUUGCUUGAAUACAUUAGCAUGGAAUAAUAAAAUAGGACGGAUGGUCCUAUUUUGUUGGUUUCUAGGAUCACCGUAAUGAUUAAUAGGGAUAGUUGGGGGCAUUAGUAUUCAAUUGUCAGAGGUGAAAUUCUUGGAUUUAUUGAAGACUAACUACUGCGAAAGCAUUUGCCAAGGAUGUUUUCAUUAAUCAAGAACGAAAGUUAGGGGACCGAAGACGAUCAGAUACCGUCGUAGUCUUAACCAUAAACUAUGCCGACUAGGAAUCAGACGAUGUUAAUUUUUUAAUGACUCGUUUGGCACCUUACGGGAAACCAAAGUGUUUGGGUUC